AACGAACGCUGGCGGCAUGCCUAACACAUGCAAGUCGAACGAGACCUUCGGGUCUAGUGGCGCACGGGUGCGUAACGCGUGGGAACCUGCCCUUAGGUUCGGAAUAACUCCCCGAAAGGGGUGCUAAUACCGGAUAAUGUCUUCGGACCAAAGAUUUAUCGCCUUUGGAUGGGCCCGCGUUGGAUUAGCUAGUUGGUAGGGGAAAAGCCUACCAAGGCGACGAUCCAUAGCUGGUCUGAGAGGAUGAUCAGCCACACUGGGACUGAGACACGGCCCAGACUCCUACGGGAGGCAGCAGUGGGGAAUAUUGGACACUGGGCGAAAGCCUGAUCCAGCAAUGCCGCGUGAGUGAUGAAGGCCUUAGGGUUGUAAAGCUCUUUUACCCGGGAUGAUAAUGACAGUACCGGGAGAAUAAGCUCCGGCUAACUCCGUG
rnacentral:rRNA from 1 species